GACGAACGCUGGCGGCGUGCUUAACACAUGCAAGUCGAACGGAAAGGCCCUGCUUUUGUGGGGUGCUCGAGUGGCGAACGGGUGAGUAACACGUGAGUAACCUGCCCUUGACUUUGGGAUAACUUCAGGGAACUGGGGCUAAUACCGGAUAGGAGCUCCUGCUGCAUGGUGGGGGUUGGAAAGUUUCGGCGGUUGGGGAUGGACUCGCGGCUUAUCAGCUUGUUGGUGGGGUAGUGGCUUACCAAGGCUUUGACGGGUAGCCGGCCUGAGAGGGUGACCGGCCAAAUUGGGACUGAGAUACGGCCCAGACUCCUACGGGAGGCAGCAGUGGGGAAUAUUGCACAAUGGGCGGAAGCCUGAUGCAGCAACGCCGCGUGCGGGAUGACGGCCUUCGGGUUGUAAACCGCUUUCGCCUGUGACGAAGCGUGAGUGACGGUAAUGGGUAAAGAAGCACCGGCUAACUACGUG
rnacentral:rRNA from 1 species